GUUUAUAGCAGUGAUUUUAACUGGAUUUUCUUAUCCACACCAAUAAAAACCCACUGAAAGCCUCUGCCUGGAAGCGUCCCAAAGGAAACUGAGUUAUAAACAAACUGUAUCAAACCAGCUGUUUAUUUCUUGAAACACCCAUAUCCUUCUUUGUCCAGCCACCACUACAUCAGCAUUGUGCUAAUUAACACAGAAUCUAGGAAUCAUUUGGCUACAGAAGAAUUGAAGCAGCAGGUGGAA